rnacentral:miRNA from 1 species
AAAGGGUGAAGUAUUAAUGUGUA